rnacentral:misc_RNA from 1 species
AAAGUCGUAACAAGGUAACCGUAGGUGAACCUGCGGUUGGAUCAUUACCGAUUGCUUUCACUCUCGCUCCUGCAAGGGAGUUUGAGAGUGACUGUACCCACCUCUUGUGAACUGUCCUGUCUCUGGCGGCGGGGCUGGCUGCAACGUCUGUUGUGCUGGCCUGUCAGCUUGGCUAGUCAGCCGUAUAGGCUGGCUAGGUUUCAAGCCGUGGACAAACCGCCAAUGGCUUCGGCCAAUGUUUUAACAUAAUGCGUAUCCAAAUUUCAGUCUGAAGUGAAACCUGUAUAGAAAAUAUACAAACAACUUUUGGCAACGGAUCUCUUGGCUCUC